AUUGAACGCUGGCGGCCGGCCUAACACAUGCAAGUCGAACGAGUGGCGGACGGGUGAGUCAUGUCUGGGAAACUGCCUGCUGGAGGGGGAUAACUACUGGAAACGGUAGCUAAUACCGCAUACCAUCAGAUCUGCCCAGAUGGGAUUAGCUUGUUGGUGGGGUAACGGCUAACCAAGGCGACGAUCCCUAGCUGGUCUGAGAGGAUGACCAGCCACACUGGAGCUGAGACACGGGCCAGACUACUACGGGAGGCAGCAGUGGGGAAUAUUGCACAAUGGGCGCAAGCCUGAUGCAGCCAUGCCGCGUGUAUGAAGAAGGCCUUCGGGUUGUAAAGUACUUUCAGCGGGGAGGCGUUACCAGCAGAAGAAGCACCGGCUAACUCCGUGCCAGCCGCCGCGGUAAUAC
rnacentral:rRNA from 1 species